CUGGCUGUGUGCCUAAUACAUGCAUGUCGAGCGAAGGUAGCAAUACCUUAGCGGCGAAUGGGUGAGUAACACGUACUCAACGUACCCUUUAGAUUGGGAUAGCAAGUGGAAACAUUUGAUAAUACCAAAUACUCAUAUUUCUCGCAUGAGAAAUAUGUAAAAGAUGCGUUUGCAUCACUAAAGGAGCGGGGUGCGCAACAUUAGCUAGUUGGUGAGGUAACGGCCCACCAAGGCGAUGAUGUUUAGCGGGGUUGAGAGACUGAUCCGCCACACUGGGACUGAGAUACGGCCCAGACUCCUACGGGAGGCAGCAGUAGGGAAUAUUCCACAAUGAGCGAAAGCUUGAUGGAGCGACACAGCGUGCAGGAUGAAGGCCCUAUGGGUUGUAAACUGCUGUGGUAAGGGAAGAAAAAGCAGAAUAGGAAAUGAUUUUGUAUUGACGGUACCUUAUUAGAAAGCAACGGCUAACUAUGGCCAGCAGCCGCGGUAAUACAUAGGUUGCAAGCGUUAUCCGGAAUUAUUGGGCGUAAAGCGUCUGUAGGUUGUUUGUUAAGUCUGGCGUCAAAUUUUGGGACUCAAUCCCAAACCGCGUUGGAUACUGGCAGACUAGAGUUAUGUAGAGGUUAGCGGAAUUCCUUGUGAAGCGGUGAAAUGCGUAGAUAUAAGGAAGAACACCAACUUGGCGAAGGCAGCUAACUGGGCAUAUACUGACACUGAGAGACGAAAGCGUGGGGAGCAAACAGGAUUAGAUACCCUGGUAGUCCACGCCCUAAACGAUGAUCAUUAGUUGAUGGAAAAUUCAUCGACGCAGCUAACGCAUUAAAUGAUCCGCCUGAGUAGUACGUUCGCAAGAAUAAAACUUAAAGGAAUUGACGGGGAUCCGCACAAGCGGUGGAGCAUGUGGUUUAAUUUGAAGAUACGCGUAGAACCUUACCCACUCUUGACAUCUUCUGCGAAGCUAUAGAGAUAUAGUGAAGGUUAACAGAAUGACAGAUGGUGCAUGGUUGUCGUCAGCUCGUGUCGUGAGAUGUUCGGUUAAGUCCUGCAACGAGCGCAACCCUUGUCCUUAGUUACUAACAUUAAGUUGAGCACUCUAAGGAGACUGCCCGAGUAAUUGGGAGGAAGGUGGGGACGACGUCAAAUCAUCAUGCCUCUUACGAGUGGGGCAACACACGUGCUACAAUGGUCGGUACAAAGAGAAGCGAAAUGGUGACAURGAGCAAACCUCAAAAAGCCGAUCUCAGUUCGGAUUGUAGUCUGCAACUCGACUACAUGAAGUCGGAAUCGCUAGUAAUCGUAGAUCAGCUACGCUACGGUGAAUACGUUCUCGGGUCUUGUACACACCGCCCGUCAAACCAUGGGAGCUGGUAAUGCCCGAAGUCGGUUUAUUAACAAACUGCCUAAGGCAGGACUGGUGACUGGGGUUAAGUCGUAACAAGGUAUCCCUACGAGAAC
rnacentral:rRNA from 1 species